AGGCAGAGGGAGAAGCAGGCUCCACGCAGUGAGCAACAAUGUGGGACUUGAUCCUGGGUCUCCAGGAUCAGGCCCUGGGCUGAAGGCGGUGCUAAACCACUGAGCCACCAGGGCUGCUAAAAUAUUUUUUUAAAGCAAUUCUUUUUUUUUUUUUUUAAAGAUUUUAUUUGAGAGAAAGCACAUGAGCAGGGGGAGGAGCAGAGAGAGGGAGAUAUGCUGACUCCCCGUCAAGACCUGAGCCAAAGGCAGAUGCUUAGCAGACAGAGCCACACAGGCGUCCCCUAGCCACACUUUAAAUACUUCAUUGUCAAGGGCCAUUUCUAUCACUGCAGAAAGUUCUAUCAGACAGUGCUAUGUGAGAUCUGACAGGAGGGGGAAUUCAGUACUUCACAAAUCAGGACACAACAGCAGCUCAGCUGAAAGGUCUCACAUUUAUUACUGAACCAACCUACUGGUAUAGAGGCAUAGUAACAGAGAAAAUCAUUCCCUUGAUAAGACAUGUCUAUUGGCCAGGUAGGAAGGAUGUUUCCAUAUUGAUAGGAUAGGAACAUGUGAUCUUCAUGCACCUUAAAUAUGUGUGCCAAUUAUGUUUGCUAUUUCAUGAUGUGCGAUGCUUCCUCAUAGACACAACUUGGUUCUUCUCCAGUGUCUCCUCUUGGAGUUGUACCUGAUUUUAUUAUCAGUUUUCAUCCAAAUCCACUGGGGAAUAGGACGAUUCUGCUUUUGUUUCUUGACCAGUUUCUUCUUCUUUAUUUCAUGCAGUUUCAUAAUUAUAGAGAGCUUAUUAGGUUUUCAUCUAUGGAUCUAGUGUGUUCACUUUGCUGCAUAGUAUUCCAUGAUUUGUAUAUUUUACAUUUUAUGUAUCCAUUCCCCUAUUGAUGGGCAUUUAGGUUAUUUCCAAUUCCUCUCUAUUGCAAUAUUGUGAUGAACAUUUUCAUACAAGCUACUUUGUGUACCUGUGAGAGUAGUUACUGGAGGAUAACUACUCUCUCAUGGGGCAUGUAAAAGAAGUGGAAUUGCUCUCUCAUGGGUCAUGAAAAAUUUAAAUUUUCUAAGCACGUCCAAAUUCCUCCCCAAAAUGGUUAUAUUAAUUCACAUAAUUCCUAGCAAUGCAUGAGGAUCCCUGUUUCCCUACAUUGUUACCAACACUUGCUAUUAUCUUACUCUUUUUAAAUGUUUUGCCAGUCUGAUGGGUACAAAAGGGUAUCUCCCUGCUCUUUUAAUUUGCCUUUCCCAAAUUAUGAGGUUGGCCAUUUCUUCAGAUAAUCAUGAUCCACUUAUUUGAGCCUCCCCUUCUGUAAGUUGCCUAUUUGUAUGUUUGCUGUUUUCUUUAUCAGAUUUUCCACCUCUUUCUUACCCUACGUAUUCUGGAUAUUAACCUUUUUUGUUCAUAUACUUUACAAAUAUUUUCUCGAAAUCUGUCACCUAUGAUUUGCCCAUUGUGUCCUCUGUAGAAAAGAAUACUUUUAAUGGAUGUUAAUCAAAUCCAUCUACUUUUGUCUUUAUGAUGUAUGUGCUCUCCACAUGGUAAGAAAACCUUUCUACCCCAAUGCUGCAAAGAUUUCUUUCUACAUUUUUUACUUUGCCUAGUUUUGCCUGUCAUAUUUAAAUCUUCAAUACCUCUAAAGUUUAUUUUUAUAUGACAUGAGAUGAGUAUUUAAUCUUAUUUUUUACAUAAUAAGCAGAUUUUCCUGCUAUUGCUACAUUAUUCUGGUUUUACAUAGCAUGGACCUUUUGUGUGACCCUUGGUUCUUGAGCAGUAAGCCAAGACCCAUUUACCAAGCUCCUCUGUGUUCCAAAGUCCUGAAGAGGGACCAUAGUGGAGUUUUUGACAUAAAACUAGUCUGCAUGAAACAUGCCAUCUAGCUGGGAGAACAAAGACUUGAGAGUAUUCACACAACACCACCUAGGUGAAGAUAAAUAAAGACCUUGGUGCUAAGAAAAAAGUUUGGAGAGUUAAAAAGGGAGCAGGGUCCUUAUUCUCAAGUUAGUAUGGAUGAAGAGUCUGGUCUAGGAGUAAAGGGAUGCCAUUUGAUACCUUCACCCUGAGAUGAUUAUCCAAUCAAGCUAGCUUUAUGCAGUUGCCACAGGAUGAAAGAGGACAUAGGAGCCACUGAGACAUCACCAUUUGCCAUGAUCUGGCCUUGCUGGUGCACUCAGGGUUUCCUUCCUAGCUCUCCCUUCAUAUAGCUUCUCAGCCCCGGGGUGCCAAUUAAGAAGGAAGCAAGGUCACUUUUGACUAGAGUCCAGGCACCCAGACCACAAAAUCUCUCUGAAUCAGCUGUCUUCCUUCUCAGAGCAAUUAACUGAAUUGGAGGGAACUAUUUCUAGAACAACAACAAUAUAAUACCUUCAAAGCCCUUUUGAAAUCCACAUUUUCUCCACAAAUAUGCUCUACAUUGUUCACCAGUGGGAAGGGAGGGAGAUGUGGACUGGAUGCUUGGACUCCAGAUAAAAAGGAUCUUGGGGGUGUGAGAAA
rnacentral:lncRNA from 1 species